UACGGAGGGAGCUAGCGUUGUUCGGAAUUACUGGGCGUAAAGCGCGCGUAGGCGGCUUUGUAAGUUAGAGGUGAAAGCCCGGAGCUCAACUCCGGAACUGCCUUUAAAACUGCAUCGCUUGAAUCCAGGAGAGGUGAGUGGAAUUCCGAGUGUAGAGGUGAAAUUCGUAGAUAUUCGGAAGAACACCAGUAGCGAAGGCGGCUCACUGGACUGGUAUUGACGCUGAGGUGCGAAAGCGUGGGGAGCAAACAGG
rnacentral:rRNA from 1 species